GGCACGGACAGGAAGUGCCCUGUCUUGGCCGCCAUGUUUGUAGUUUCCCCGGGUACGGGAAGUGGUCACGGCCCGCACAGGAAGUGCCCGUUCUGGGCCGCCAUGUUUGUAGUUCUCCAGGAACAGGAAGUGACUAGACCUUGGGGAAGAGCAGGCAGCGCGCUGAACCUCCAGCCCCCAGGACUUUUUUUUGAAGUACGCACAGGCACCCAGGACACUUUUCCCACUGUCGGCUUUCUGGAAAUUGACGGUUUUAGUCCCAGUGACUCGGUUUCCCUCCUCUUCCAUGUGCAGGCUGGAGAUGUCGCAACGGGAACCGUGGAGAUCCGCCCGCCUCUGCCUCCCGAGGGCCGGGAUCCAAGGCGGGCGCCACCGCCGCCGCCCGGCUCCCCGACUCUCUGGGAUCCUCGCUCUGGAACCUCUAACCUGGUGACCCCGAGGUUCCGCCAGGGAGUCUGGGGCACAGACGAGCAUGGCCCAGCCCAGCCGCCCGCCCGCCCGCCCUCACACCGGGAAGGACAAGGUCAGACAAUGCGUCCUCUUGGGGCCUGAGCCCGGCACUGUGCACUAGGGACCAGACAGCAGCGGAGACGUCUCCCCAGGUAUCAUCAUCUCCACCCCCGCAGAGACGAAUCUCAUCACCAGUCCCCACCGAGAGUGCGGAUCCAGCUGCACAGACGCCAGGACGGAAGAAAAGUUGUUUGCAUUAACAAAACGACAUCUGCCGAUGUGGGCUGAGAAACCACACGCUGGGCUCCAAGAAAAGUUCCCCUGAGACACUGUCCUGGCGCUGCCAGCUCAUAGGCGAGAGACAGCCACCAAAGUCAGGGGCUCAGGAACAGUACAAAAAAAUCACAAGCGUACGUUCACUGCUUUUUCUCACUAGGUUUGAAACGUCAUAGCCAAUCCUACAAAACGAGGAAGCGUCACAUAAGAAGUGCUAACCCUGUAGCAAAUACAACUUGUAAAGGCCCCAUA